rnacentral:rRNA from 1 species
UACGAAGGGGGCUAGCGUUGUUCGGAAUUACUGGGCGUAAAGCGCACGUAGGCGGAUUGUUAAGUCGGGGGUGAAAUCCUGAGGCUCAACCUCAGAACUGCCUUCGAUACUGGCAGUCUCGAGUCCGGAAGAGGUUGGUGGAACAGCUAGUGUAGAGGUGAAAUUCGUAGAUAUUAGCCAGAACACCAGUGGCGAAGGCGGCCAACUGGUCCGGUACUGACGCUGAGGUGCGAAAGCGUGGGGAGCAAACAGG